AGAGUUUGAUCCUGGCUCAGAUUGAACGCUGGCGGAAUGCUUUACACAUGCAAGUCGAACGGCAGCACGGGGGCAACCCUGGUGGCGAGUGGCGAACGGGUGAGUAACACAUCGGAACGUGCCCAGUCGUGGGGGAUAACUACGCGAAAGCGUAGCUAAUACCGCAUACGAUCUGAGGAUGAAAGCGGGGGACCUGCGAGGGCCUCGCGCGAUUGGAGCGGCCGAUGGCAGAUUAGGUAGUUGGUGGGGUAAAGGCCUACCAAGCCUGCGAUCUGUAGCUGGUCUGAGAGGACGACCAGCCACACUGGGACUGAGACACGGCCCAGACUCCUACGGGAGGCAGCAGUGGGGAAUUUUGGACAAUGGGCGCAAGCCUGAUCCAGCCAUUCCGCGUGCAGGAUGAAGGCCCUCGGGUUGUAAACUGCUUUUGUACGGAACGAAACGCGCCGAGUUAAUACCUUGGCGUAAUGACGGUACCGUAAGAAUAAGCACCGGCUAACUACGUGCCAGCAGCCGCGGUAAUACGUAGGGUGCGAGCGUUAAUCGGAAUUACUGGGCGUAAAGCGUGCGCAGGCGGUGAUGUAAGACAGAUGUGAAAUCCCCGGGCUCAACCUGGGAACUGCAUUUGUGACUGCAUUGCUGGAGUGCGGCAGAGGGGGAUGGAAUUCCGCGUGUAGCAGUGAAAUGCGUAGAUAUGCGGAGGAACACCGAUGGCGAAAGGCAAUCCCCUGGGCCUGCACUGACGCUCACGCACGAAAGCGUGGGGAGCAAACAGAUUAGAUACCCUG
rnacentral:rRNA from 1 species